GGGGGCCACCCAGGGGCCACCGGGUCUAAUCGCUUUGAAAGGUAUGCCACCGGCCGCUUCCAUGGUCCCCAUUGUUGCGUCAAGACCCCCUUUCCUAUUCCUUGCUUUUCAUCUACAAACAGCUGGAAUGGCUUAUUCGGGUUAGGCAGGGCAAGGGCUGGGGCUUCUAGUAGGGCCCGUCUGAGUGUCUGGAAAGCCUGUUUCAUUGGCUCAGUCCAAGUCCAGUUUGGGGUCUCUCUACUUCCCUCAUACAAGGGCCGGACCUUCUCAGCAAACCCCAUGAUCCACAGUCUGCAAUAUCCAACAGUCCCCAGAAACUCUCUCACCUGGCGGGGGGUCUUGGGCUCUGGUAUCUGCAAUAUUGUUUCCUUCACGGCCUGAGUUAGCCACCUCUGCCUCUGCCUGAUCUUAUACCCCAAAUAGGUGACCUCUUGCCGGGCUAUUUGCGCCUUCUUUGCGCUAGCGCGAUACCCCAAGGUGCCUAGAGUCUGUAAGAGGUCCCCGGUGGCAUGGCUGCAUGCCUCCUCUGUGGUUUCAGCCAACAUAAGGUCAUCUACAUAUUGCAGCAGGAUGACCUCUGGGUGGUGAGUCUGAUAUUCAUAAAGGUCCUCACUCAAAGCCUCAUUAAACAAGGUAGGGGAGUUCUUGAACCCCUGUGGGAGGCGGGUCCAAGUUAAUUGUACUACCGGUUGGCCCUCCCCCUCAGUCCACUCAAAGGCAAAUAUCUCCUGGCUCUGGGCCUCCAGGGGUAGGCUGAAAAAGGCAUCUUUCAAGCCCAACACAGUGUACCAAGUGUACUCAGGCAGCAAACUGCUCAGGAGGGUAUACGGGGUAGGGACAAUAGGGUGUAUGUCACUCACCCAUUUGUUGACUUCUCACAGGUCUUGGACAGGUCUGUAAUUUGUCCCCCCUGGCUUCUUCACCAGCAGUAAGGGGGUGUUCCAAGGGGAUUGGCACCGCUUGAAAAUUCUGGCAUCCAUGAGCCGUUGAAUGUGGGGAGUGAUCCCCCGCCGAGCUUCCUGGCUCAUAGGGUACUGUCUCACCCUCACAGGAGUUGCCCCGGCCUUUAGCUCGAUGACGACCAGAUGUCUCUGUUUGGCCAGUCCCAUUCCUGCUCUUUCUGCCCAGGCCAAUGGAUAUUUGUGGACCCACGGUUGUACAUCUGGUGCUAUGGUCUCUGAGGGCUUAGGCGCAAAAAAUCUGUAUUCAUCUCUUAAGGCUAGGGAUAAGACAUGUAUCGGCUGUCCAAGUCCAUCCGUGACUGACAUUCCCCCAGGGUCAAAAUGGAUCUGAGCAUUAACUUUAGUCAACAAGUCUCUUCCAAGUAGAGGGGCUGGGCAUUCUGGUAUCACCAAAAACGAAUGGGACACCUGGUGGGUCCCCAGAUUUACUUUCUGUUCUGUGGUCCUACAAUAUCUUUUUGUCCCCGUGGCUCCCUGCAUCAAGCUGGUUUUCUUAGACAUUGGUCCCAGUUUUUCAUUUAAAACAGAGUGUUGGGCGCCAGUAUCUACCAUGAAGCCAACGGGUUUCCCCUCCACAUGUAUGGUUACCCAGGACUCGGGGAGAGGUGCCGAGUCUUGACUCCCUAGUCACUGUCUUCCCCCACAUAUAGAACUCGAGUUCCAGGGGAGAUUCUCUCUCUCUGGGUUGUUCCUCUCUUUGGGUCCCUCUUAGGGCACUCGUUUUUCCAGUGCCCCCGUUCUUUGCAGUAAGUGCACUGAUCUUUCUUUAGGGCCUGUCUUUUUGGUCUCUCUUUUUCUCCCGCCUGGGGGUCUCGAGGUUCCCUCAAUUCUGUUCCAGCCUUCAUCCCCGCAAAAAGAAUCUAGGCUAGCUCCCUCUAGUUCUUCCGGUUUUCCUUCGCCCUAUGUUCCCUAUCUUCCUUCCUGAUCUUCUCAGCUAAUUCCCUUUCCUCCCUUCGAAUUCACUCUUCCCUUUCUUCUGGGGUCUCUCUAUUAUUAAAUACCUUUUCAGCUGCUUUCAGUAAAUCCUGUAUCGUCUGUUCUCCCAACCCCUCUAUCUUUUGUAAUUUCCUCCUAAUAUCUGGGGCUGCCUGAUUCACAAACGCUAACAGAACUGCAGCACGUGACUCCUCAGCCUGGGCGUCCAUAGGUGUAUAUUGCCUAAAGGCUUCCAUCAGCCUCUCUAGGAAGGCUGCCGGGCUCUCAGUGGGCUCUUGCCUUACUAAAUUUACCUUCGCCAAAUUUGUCAGCUUUCUAGCUGCGGCCCGCAGGCCAGCAAUCAGAGUCUGGUGGUAUACUCAGAGAUGCUCCCUACCUUCCGUUUGCUCAAAAUCCCAGUUAGGCCGCAACAGAGGAAACCCCUCGUCCACAAGAUGAGGCUGGGCGGUUGGCCUCCCGUCAGCCCCCGGGACCCGUUUCUGCGCCUCUGCCAGAAUUCGCUCCCGUUCUUCUGUGGUGAAGAGCACCUGCAACAGCUGCUGACAAUCAUCCCAGGGAAAACGGCGCUGAGGCAGCGCAGCGGCACCCCCGACCCCUCACACAGGAGCACAGCAGCGCCUCACACACCCAGCUUCGUCCCCUGAGCUGACAGCGAGGAUGCUGUCCGUCUUCCCGCCGCGAGCAGUGACCCCCCUGGCCAUCCACCCAGGGCCAGGGCCUCGUCCUCUACAGGACGAUCAUGUGUGGGAAUAUGUGAUAACUGUCUCUGCUGCAAUCCACCCUCUUUCACCAGACACAUCCUCGGCUUUAAAUUAACCACCCCCUACUUCUCUGAGAGCCUUUCCACUGCUUUUGAGGACAGCAGGAGAAUAAAUAAAGCAAGGAGACCUGAGGUCAAAGUGCUAGAAUCUGAGCCCUUCAUUGAUAAACUUCAUGGACACUCCCCUAGAGCCCGUGCUCCACAUGAGAAGCCACUUCAGCGAGAAGCCGGAGCACCACAACUAAAGACUAGCCCCCGCUCGCCACAACCAGAAAAAAGCCCACACAGCAACAGGC